GGCAGACCAAGCCUGGGAUCUCCAUAUGGACAACCCCCUCGCUUUCCAGUCCCUCACAAUGGCAGCAGCGAGGCCACCCUGCCAGCCCAGAUGAGCACCCUGCAUGUGUCUCCACCCCCCAGCGCUGACCCAGCCAGAGGCCUCCCGCGGAGCCGGGACUGCAGAGUCGACCUGGGCUCCGAGGUGUACAGGAUGCUGCGGGAGCCGGCCGAGCCCGUGGCCGCGGAGCCCAAGCAGUCAGGCUCCUUCCGCUACUUGCAGGGCAUGCUAGAGGCCGGCGAGGGCGGUAAGACGCCUGCCACCUGUCCCCACCUGCCUUCCCACUCCCUGCAGUGCCCAGGUUGCCCCCUAGCGACCCCACGUCCCGCCUCGCAGUCACCUGCCCUCCUCGGUCUCUGCGGCCCGGUCCCACUCCCUUGCUACACCCUUGCUACGCCCUGGCUUCCUGAUUCCCACUCCACCCCCUGUCGCUGCCCCUCACCCCACGCCCGCCAAACCCGUUCCCCAGUCUCGGGUGCCGAUGGCCCGUCUGGUGCCCAACCAAACACCCCGCAGAAAUGGAGUUCUGACCUCCUCACCCCGUUCAUGCCACCUACGCUCCGGGUUUCAGGGGAGUGGCCUGGGCCUGGCGGCCCUCGGAACCUCAAGCCCACGGCCAGCAAGCUGGGCGCUCCGCUGAGCGGCCUGCAGGGGCUGCCCGAGUGCACGCGCUGCGGCCACGGCAUCGUGGGCACCAUCGUCAAGGCGCGGGACAAGCUCUACCAUCC
rnacentral:sRNA from 1 species